CUACGGGUUGCUGCAGUGAGGAAUAUUGGACAAUGGUCGAAAGACUGAUCCAGCCAUGCCGCGUGCAGGAUGACUGCCCUAUGGGUUGUAAACUGCUUUUAUACGGGAAGAAAAACACCUACGUGUAGGUGACUGACGGUACCGUAAGAAUAAGGACCGGCUAACUCCGUGCCAGCAGCCGCGGUAAUACGGAGGGUCCAAGCGUUAUCCGGAAUCAUUGGGUUUAAAGGGUCCGUAGGCGGGCUAUUAAGUCAGAGGUGAAAGUUUGCAGCUCAACUGUAAAAUUGCCUUUGAUACUGAUAGUCUUGAAUUGUAGUGAAGUGGUUAGAAUAUGUGGUGUAGCGGUGAAAUGCAUAGAUAUCACAUAGAAUACCGAUUGCGAAGGCAGAUCACUAACUAUAUAUUGACGCUGAGGGACGAAAGCGUGGGGAGCGAACGGAUUAGAUACCCGAGUAGUC
rnacentral:rRNA from 1 species